UUUAGUCAUGGCGUAAUAGAUUCUCUUAUAUAUAUAAUGAAUAAUGUUGUUAACAGAAGCCCCUGAACUUAGAAUUACUGCCACUUCUUUAUAUUCUUAGUUCUAAUAAGGCAAGAGUGAGUUUUGGUAUAUCUAAUGGGAUAUAGAAAGGUAUUUACCCCCAUUUUAUCUAGCAACUUCAAAACCUGGUAAGUCUCUCGCAAAACCUGAAUUUAGAUGGAUGGACUUCAAAUUAAUCCUAAUAAAUUUUUUAAAAAAUGGAAAGAAAAAUUGAGUAACUGCGGCAAAAUUAUGCAAAGAAAUUAAACUGGCUGAGAAGAUGGAGCAACUUAAAUGUGCUUGAUGUAGCAAAUUAAAUGAUUGGACUAAGAUACUUGAUUCCCCAAAAGUCAGUGUCUUCAAAGUGUUGAAACUUGAAAGGAAAACACAACCCUUCACUCAAAACAAAGACCUGGAAUGACUAAGAUAGAAUUUCAUACACAUGAAAGAAAUUACGAGGGCUAAUUUGCUUUUCUAAUAAUCUCUUUCUUAAUGAUGGCAUUUUGACUUGUGUGGGAAUGAAGUGGGAACAAUGAUGAUGAUGGGGACAAUAAUGGGAAGAGGACAUGAUUAUUGAUGUUGGCUUAAUUCUGCGGGCAUUGAGAGUUAAAAGAAGAGAGAGAGAGAUGAUGAAAAAAUAGAAAAUUCAUUCUAUAGUUUCUGUGCUCCUCUCUCUCUCUCUCUCACACACAUCAUGCCCGAGGACGAAAACAGAGUAAAGAUGCAAAAUUGUGCACAGAAGGAAUAUUAUAUCAGAUAAUAUAAAAUUGAAUGAGAGAUCUGGAACUAAAUUGCUUAGCAUAACAUGAAACCUUCGACUCUUCAAAGUUGGAAGCCAAGGAUUAACUUACCUUGCACAAGUGAUGAUGAACAAACCAGGACAGAGACAGCAACAACAGAGACGCAGCAGUUGGAAGGCAGAAAAUUGGCUCAAGGAUGGCUACAAUCUACCGGCGCGCUCGAACGGAAGUUUACGCAGGGGUGGGUGUGGCUUUCGUUUGCAAUUCAUUGAUUAGGGAUUGAAUUUUGCCUUUAUAUUAUAUUAUUCUUGUAAUAGGCAAACCCCCUUUCUUUAAUUUUAAACUGGUAAAAUUUUACUUUUAAAAUAAUAUUUAACCGACUUGUAAUCGGUUAUAUGUAAUUUAAUCAAUUUCUUUUAUUGAAUUAUAAUUGUUUAGAAUCGUUG
rnacentral:lncRNA from 1 species